CAGAACGUUUGUCUACGUCAGAACUAUGCGGCGCUUCAUAUAUACUGCAGGCUUUGCAUGACUUAUUGGUGAAGGUCUUGUUUAUUUUUUGUCUCGACCGCUACAGUAUGCACUUUAGCAGUAAGUUUUUUCGGCCCUGUACUCCCGACAAAGGAUAAUUUCGGCAGCUGUUGGCCAAAGAACCUCUGGAAAAGCUGGGGUUCAAAGACCUGAUGGACAAACCCAGCCAGGAGGCCAUACCCUGAACUUCCCUUCCUAUACAGAUGGAUACUGUCAUUUUUGUCAAAAAUGUUACCUUUAACUGUUGCAGUGAUAUACUAAACAUGAAGAUAGUU